CUUGACGCUGGCGGCAGGCCUAACACAUGCAAGUCGAGCGAGCGGCGGACGGGUGAGUAAUGUCUGGGAAACUGCCUGAUGGAGGGGGAUAACUACUGGAAACGGUAGCUAAUACCGCAUACCCUCAGAUGUGCCCAGAUGGGAUUAGCUAGUAGGUGGGGUAACGGCUCACCUAGGCGACGAUCCGUAGCUGGUCUGAGAGGAUGACCAGCCACACUGGAACCGAGAAACGGUCCAGACUCCUACGGUAGGCAGCAGUGGGGAAUAUUGCACAAGGGGCGCAAGCCUGAUGCAGCCAUGCCGCGUGUAUGAAGAGGGCCUUCGGGUUGUAAAGUAUUUUCAGCGGGGAGGCGUUACCCGCAGAAGAAGCACCGGCUAACUCCGUGCCAGCCGCCGCGGUAAUUC
rnacentral:rRNA from 1 species